rnacentral:tRNA from 1 species
UGGGAGAUCUUCCAACGGUAGGAAUACGGACUCUGAAUCCGUCAAUCUUGGUUCGAAUCCAAGUCUCCCAG